UGAGGUGGGAAGUGGCCGCGUUGACCUCUUGAGUGGCUCCGUUGACUUCCUGGGUCCCACUCAGGUGGUGGUCACUCCCAGGGAGCUGCUGGGUGGUCCCAGGAAGCUGUUGAGUGGCCACCAAAGAAGGUUGAGUGGCCACCAAAGAAGGUUGAGUGGCUCCUAAAGAAGGUUGAGCGGCUCCUAAAGGUGGUUGUGUGGCUCCUAAAGGUUGUGUGGCCACCAAAGAAGGUUGUGUGGCCACCAAAGAAGGUUGAGUGGCUCCUAAAGAAGGUUGUGUGGCUCCUAAAGGUUGUGUGGCCACCAAAGAAGGUUGUGUGGCUCCUAAAGAAGGUUGUGUGGCCACCAAAGGUGGUUGAGUGGCUCCUAAAGAAGGUUGAGUGGCUCCUAAAGAAGGUUGUGUGGCCACCAAAGAAGGUUGAGUGGCUCCUAAAGGUGGUUGAGUGGCUCCUAAAGGUUGAGUGGCCACCAAAGAAGGUUGAGUGGCUCCUAAAGAAGGUUGAGUGGCUCCUAAAGAAGGUUGAGUGGCUCCUAAAGGUGGUUGAGUGGCUCCUAAAGAAGGUUGAGUGGCUCCUAAAGAAGGUUGAGUGGCCACCAAAGAAGGUUGAGCGGCUCCUAAAGAAGGUUGAGUGGCUCCUAAAGGUUGUGUGGCCACCAAAGAUGGUUGAGUGGCUCCUAAAGAAGGUUGAGUGGCUCCUAAAGAAGGUUGAGUGGCCACCAAAGAAGGUUGUGUGGCCACCAAAGGUGGUUGUGUGGCUCCUAAAGAAGGUUGAGUGGCUCCUAAAGGUGGUUGAGUGGCUCCUAAAGGUUGUGUGGCCACCAAAGAAGGUUGUGUGGCCACCAAAGGUGGUUGUGUGGCCACCAAAGAAGGUUGGGUGCCCUCCAGGAGGAGAUAAUCGAGGUGUUGAGGGACGGGAUUUGGGUUCAUUUGGACGUGAGGGUAUUUUUCCCGAUGGCGGUGGAAAUG